rnacentral:rRNA from 1 species
CUAGCGACUUCAGAGUUUGAUCCUGGCUCGAGGAUGAACGCUGGCGGCGUGCAUAACACAUUCAAGUCGAACGGAGAUGAUUGGAAUGAACCUUCGGGGGAAUGAAGGUCAUCUUAGUGGCGGACGGGUGAGUAACGCGUGAGCAACCUGCCUCUGUAUGAGGGAUAACGUCUGGAAACGGACGCUAAUACCUCAUGACACGUAUUUAUCGCAUGUUAGAUACGUCAAAGAUUUAUUGUACAGAGAUGGGCUCGCGUCCGAUUAGAUAGUUGGUGAGGUAACGGCUCACCAAGUCGACGAUCGGUAGCCGGACUGAGAGGUUGAACGGCCACAUUGGAACUGAGAUACGGUCCAG